GGCUCGGCCUCUGCCGCCUGCGCGGACGUCGUCCGGUCACCCGUGGGUGACAGCUGCGACCUGGUUGCUGCUCCCUGCAGCCACUCUGCAGAGCCAGGUCCCGAAUCUGCAAAACCGGUAGAGCAGGAUCUUGAUGGAGACCUGUAAUGAUCCAGAAACUGAAUGGACGAGAUUGACAGGUUUAGAGAAACCUUCAAAGAAGAUCCGUGAACACAUGGAAGAGGUGACCAAAGAGCUUUCUGAAAACAGAUACUUUUCACUCAACCCUCAGGACACCAGAUGCUGAAUGCACUCCUUCAUCCUCGGAACCCACACCUCAGGCCUUCAGAAGAGGGGAACUCUGGCAAGCUCCACUUACUGAACCUUCAGGACAUUAUGCUCAUGAAACACACCACUCCUGAACUGGUUUCACACAGGAUGCCACUUCAAGAAGUACCUCUGGAUUGCAGCCUCUCCUACCUCAGCAGGAAGGGUGUGUGUGUGUGUGAGUGUGAACACAGCUGUAGUCUUCACGUCUUCCGAUGAUCACCUCCUUCAGCUGGUGUGAAAGCCUCAGGCCACUGGCAGGUUUCAAGGCAUGAGAAGCUCUUGGAAUAGUUUUUAGAUGUUUCUAACAAUAUACUCUGAAGACGGUGGGGUGGGGGGGAUGCGAGAGAGGGAGAGAGAGCUCAGCUAAGGAACUGUAGGAUCCAGGACUCUGAAUCUGAAGUAGGCUCUGUGGGUUUUACAUCUUUAUGUGGCUAUAAUUCCCAAAACAUAAAAUCCAUCUCUUUAAA